rnacentral:lncRNA from 1 species
UUCACAUGUGGCAAGCAGAAGCCAUGCCUGACAAAGUGAGUUGCCUGCUUGCCACACCUGAGAAGCUCAGUGCUCUGUGUCCUACUCUGUCAAGAGCUAUCACUGUUCUGUACACGCUCAGUCUCCCUUACAAGGACAAAGGAUGGUCAGACAUAAGACUCUUCUGCUCUGAUUGGCACAUGGGGUUAGGAUAUGGGUCUCCCCAAAUUCAACUCCAGAAGCUCUGACUUGUGCAGAGGGGGCUCCCCACUCUAAAGAACAGAAGGCAAGACCUUCAGGAAAUAGUCCAAAAGGAGGUAAAUAAUUAAGAGGUCACCUACAAGAGUUACCCAUUAACAACAUUAACUUUGGAGUCUCCUGUGAUGGUGGAGGAAAAAAAAAAAAAAAAACAGGCAAAAAAGUGAAUCAAGUAAAAUCCAAGUGUCCAUGGGUAGACAGAGCUCUAUUUCAGGGAGAUCUGAUUUGUGAUUUUACAAACUUCCAUUAGUUCAGGGAUUUGCAAAGGUUUGAGUUGAAGUUCUUUUGUUUUUUUUUUUGUUUUGUUUUUUGUUUUUUUUAAAGAUUUAUUUAUUUAUGAUAGUCACACACACAGAGAGAGAGAGAGAGAGAGAGAGAGAGGCAGAGACAUAUGCAGAGGGAGAAGCAGGCCCCAUGCACCAGGAGCCUGACGUGGGAUUCGAUCCCGGGUCUCCAGGAUCGCGCCCUGGGCCAAAGGCAGGCGCCAAACCGCUGCGCCACCCAGGGAUCCCUUGUUUUUUGUUUAAAUACAAUUUAUACACCACACCCCCAGAGGCUCAGAUUCCUACCUACCAAAUCGUAAGAGUGGAGACUCCUAAUGUAUUACUGUGGUGGGCAUCGGUCACUUUUAUGACUUCCAGCAUCCAAGCCCUGUUCUUAUUUCUGUGAGGCUGCCCCUUGGGGCCCCCCUAACAGGGCCAAAAAGUGGAGAUUCUCUACCCACCUCUUCACCUUGGCAAUCAGGGUACAGGCAACGGAUCCACCCUCAGGAGGUCAGAAAUUCCUCCUAGGCCCCUGCAUUCCGAGCAAUGGUCAAGACAGAAGGGAUUUUUAGAGUUCCCUUGCGUUGACAACCUAAAAUCUGGAAGACUCUGAUUUCUGUGAACUCCCCCAGCUGGCUCUGAAUCAUCGCCUCAACCAUCUUUUCUCCUGUGCAAUGGUUGGGAUCCAGCUUUUCCUGCCCUCCCCACACAUAUAUUUACUCUUCAAGUGCAUCUGUGGUCUAGAAGUUUGUAGUCCUCUCUUGAUCCUUUUCGCCCUUGUAACUUUCCAGCCUGAGCAAACGUACUCACGGUGUGUAUUGUGCUACUGCGUUCACUGUUUCCUCAGAGUCCGGGCUUGAAUAAGACCUCAGGCACAUUUGCUUGUUGCAUGCUGUUCUCCCACCAAGGCACAGUCAUUAUAUCCUGACAAGGGACAGUGUGACGUUCCUUAUAGUCUUAUUGCAGUAUCAAGACUGUAUUUGUGCUUAUUGUGAGUUUCAGGUGUUUCCCCAUAUAACGUUCAUAUUUGUGAUACACAACGUGAAUGUGUGUCAAUGUUCAUUGUUGCCCCCAGAACCAAAUCUACCAGUUCUCAAGGUUUUCUGGAAGAGUUUCCUAACACAGCAAAGCAAGCAGUUGUGCAAACCUGUUACCAUUUGAAAUCAGUUAUCUGUGUGAGUUGAGACCUGGCUGGCACACAGCAAACCCUAUGUGAAAAUGCCCCCCAAAAUUGGACGUGCUGGCUGAUAUAGAAGCCUGCAGCUGGCCUCGGUGAACUCCCAUUUCCAAGAGUGGGUUCCGUUAUAAUUCUUCACUGUUCUUUGUGGUUGAUGCUCUAUUGUACAAAUAUGAACUUAUAA